UAUAAAAAACAGGAAUUUCGAUAGCUUCCGACAGUAGAAGCGAAAACGACUUUGAAAGAAGAAUAAUACACGCCAUGUCCCGCUACAUCUUUACGUGUAUAUUUAUUGCCACACUCCUCGCUGUUUAUGCGGAUACACGAAACAACGAGGAAAAUAUAAGAUGCGGA